AUUGAACGCUGGCGGCACGCCUAACACAUGCAAGUCGAACGGCAGCACGGAGAGUAGCAAUACUUUUGGGUGGCGAGUGGCGGACGGGUGAGUAACGCGUAGGAAUCUACCCUAGAGAUGAGGAUAACUUGGGGAAACUCAAGCUAAUACUGAAUACGCCCUUAGGGGUAAAGGUUGCGCAAGCAGCCGCUUUAGGAUGAGCCUGCGUUAGAUUAGCUAGUUGGUGGGGUAAAGGCCUACCAAGGCGACGAUCUAUAGCUGUUCUGAGAGGAAGAUCAGCCACACUGGGACUGAGACACGGCCCAGACUCCUACGGGAGGCAGCAGUGGGGAAUCUUGGACAAUGGGGGCAACCCUGAUCCAGCGAUGCCGCGUGUGUGAAGAAGGCCUUAGGGUUGUAAAGCUCUUUCAGGUGGAAAGAAAGCGGAUGAGUUAAUACCUUGUCCGGAUGACGGUACCACCAGAAGAAGCACCGGCUAACUACGUGCCAGCA
rnacentral:rRNA from 1 species